CCCUUAGGUGGCACAAUGGGUCAGUAUGUCUGGCUGUUAACCAGAAGGUUGGUGGUUCAAGCCCAAUCAGGGA